AUUUCUGCUGAUGUGUGGUGCUUCAUAAGAUGGGGACGUUAAGCAUGCAGCAACUACAGUCAUUUGUUCUCAGAGGAGGGCAUUUCCACUCUGAAUUUCCAGUUCCAAACAUUUCAGUUUUCCACCAAGACAUCAUUCCUGGGUUUGGGAUUCCUGAAUUUUCUCCACACAGAGGUGACUGCUUUCAGUGGAAAACUUAGCGAAAUUGCAUUGUUCUCCCUGAAGUAUCUGUGUAACCAAAACAAUGUUACUGCUAUAUGACAUGUUGUAGGCAUUCUCAAUACAUUUGGAAAAUGCAAAAGUAACUGUGAUCUAACAUCUCAAACUGGCUAUGGAUUUAUUUUCCUGUGGUCAGGUCUGGACCAAAGAGAAACAAGAAAAGCUGGAGUCACACUACCAAAGGCCGAAGCUGAGCAACAGAGCUCUGGAGUCAGCUGCCUGGGUUCAGCAUGCAGCGCUGCCGUGGACGAUCUGUCUCUCUUGCAUAUAUGACUUACCAGUUUUACUUUCAGUCUCUCCAUUUCUAAUUAAAUGAGAUGCAGAAAUGCUGGUGCCUUGCUAUGAUGUUUGCAGUUAUUAUUUCUAGGAAAAAAAAUAUUAUUGUUACUCAGUAUCUGGUACAUCAAAACUAAGCCAGAAACGUUUAAAAAGAACAAAAGUAUCAUUUCUACUUAAUUCUCUAGCUACUUGGACAACUGGACUAUGCCCCUCCUUUCAAGGGAGGGCAAAGCAUUUCAGAAAAGAACUAAGUGCUAUUUCUCUGCUUCAGGAAUGUCUCCCGUAUGUAAAAGAAUGUGGCUUCAGGGAGUAGCAUGUGUUGUAAAGGUGGAUGGGUCUAACUUCAUGGACAGCUCUGACAUCCACUAGCUAUGCCACCUGAUGCAAACCACUUGGGCUGUCUGUAGUUUCGUUUAUCUUUCUGGAAUUGGUAAUAACAACCACCUGGCAAGAUCACUGUUAUGAAUACGGAGGAUCAAAGUUGUGAAGUUAUUUUGUAAAGUGAAAUGUUCUGAAAAUUGGAUUUUAACAGUGUCAGCGAAAAGUAGAUUUUUGACAUUUAUCAAGAGUUCAGCUAAUGAAAACAAGUAUGGAUAAUAGUUACAUAGAACUGUCUACUUUACUCAGUACUUUAGCAUAUGCUAUUAUAUUUAAUCUUCUUAAAAAGUAGAAAAUUAUACAAGCCAUGUAUUACUAUUAUUGUGGUGGUUGUCGUUCUCAAUUACACACUGAAUAUUAAGACCUCUCAGGUAGCAGCUGGAAGGACAUUGUAUCCAGUUUCCUGAUUGUUUUCAAUGGAAUAAUCAUGUAUACAUGCACUACUAAUGAGACAAUGGUGAUUCUAAAAGCUUAAUCAGGGGGACUUUUGUGUAUUCCAAAUCUACUAAAAAUAAAGAAACACAGAAAUGAGAAAAAUGUACAUUAGCAAGAAAAUGUACACCAGCAUUCAGGCUUAGCCUUUUGAGAGCAAUAUGAUAAAUAGAAAUAGAAUUUCACAAAUUUAACAUGAUGCUAAUCGAGGAAUGAAUGAAAAAGUGGUCAGCAGUCUAAAUGGAACAUAACACAAAGAGAUCUCGUAAACAGUAAGCUUUGUGCAGGACAUCUCUUGGGGGUCCCAGGUGUUGGGAGAGUCAGGGAGAGAUGUCUACUGUUUGAACAGCAAUAAUACAAAGUUGAAGUGGGACAAUAUUCACCACCGUAGCUUGAUGGAAUUAGCCUUUCAAAAGAUUGAGUUUAUUUAUUUAGAAAUUGCCUUACCCCCUUUUUAUAAAUGUGGCAAAUCAGCAAAGACGGUGACAUUCUUUUAAUUCAAAACAUCCGUUCAAUCUACAGUCUGCUCUCCUAGAUGGAUUUUAAGAGUGGGGGUUUGUCUUCCAACUAAUGUUUGUCUUCCAACUAAUGUUCCCCUGUCAAUUAACUAUCAUUUCCUGUUCUUAUUAAUCAAUUAGAUCUUUUCCACUGCCUCAGACUAUUCUUCAUUCAACAUU
rnacentral:lncRNA from 10 species